AGAAUUGACGGGACCGCACAAGCGGUGGAUGAUGUGGUUAAUUCGAUGCAACGCGAAAACCUUACCACCUUUGACAUGUACGGAAUCCUUUAGAGAUAGAGGAGUGCUCGAAAGAGAGCCGUAACACAGGUGCUGCAUGGCUGUCGUCAGCUCGUGUCGUGAGAUGUUGGGUUAAGUCCCGCAACGAGCGCAACCCUUGUCAUUAGUUGCUACAUUUGGUUGGGCACUCUAAUGAGACUGCCGGUGACAAACCGGAGGAAGGUGGGGAUGACGUCAAGUCCUCAUGGCCCUUAUAGGUGGGGCUACACACGUCAUACAAUGGCUGGUACAAAGGGUUGCCAACCCGCGAGGGGGAGCCAAUCCCAUAAAGCCAGUCGUAGUCCGGAUCGCAGUCUGCAACUCGACUGCGUGAAGUCGGAAUCGCUAGUAAUCGUGGAUCAGCAUGUCACGGUGAAUACGUUCCCGGGUCUU
rnacentral:rRNA from 1 species